AGUGGAUGGGGAGCAACCUAGUUGUGCGUGUGUAAAGGUAGUGCCAAGAAAAGCGAUGAUCAUGUUGAAAAUCAAUUCCCGGUACCCGAAACCGACACGGGUGGGCAAGUAGAGAAUACUAAGGGGCGCGAGGUAACUCUCUCCAAGGAACUCGGCAAAAUGACCCCGUAACUUAGGGAGAAGGGGUGCCACCGAGAGGUGGUCGCAGUGAAGAGGCCCAGGCGACUGUUUAGCAAAAACAUAGGUCUCUGCAAACUCGAAAGAGGAGGUAUAGGGGCUGACGCCUGCCCAGUGCCGGAAGGUUAAAGAAGUUGGUCAGUCUUAGGAUGAAGCUAGCGACUGAAGCCCCGGUGAACGGCGGCCGUAACUAUAACGGUCCUAAGGUAGCGAAAUUCCUUGUCGGAUAAGUUCCGACCCGCACGAAAGGCGUAACGAUCUGGGCGCUGUCUCGGAGAGAGGCUCGGCGAAAUAGGAUUGUCUGUGAAGAUACGGACUACCUGCAUUUGGACAGAAAGACCCUAUGAAGCUUUACUAUAGCUUGGAAUUGUGUUCGGGCUUCCUGUGCGCAGGAUAGGUGGGAGGCGUAGAAGGUAUUCUUGUGGGGAUACUGGAGCCAACGGUGAGAUACCACUCUCAGGAGGCUAGAAUUCUAACUUAAUUAAGGACAGUUUCAGGUGGGUAGUUUGACUGGGGCGGUCGCCUCCAAAAAGGUAACGGAGGCGUACAAAGGUUCCCUCAGACUGGUUGGAAAUCAGUCGAAGAGUGCAAAGGCAGAAGGGAGCUUGACUGCGAGAAGUACAGUUCGAGCAGGGUGGAAACACGGUCUUAUUGAUCCGACGGUGCUGUGUGGAAGGGCCGUCGCUCAACGGAUAAAAGUUACUCUAGGAUAACAGGCUGAUCACCCCCAAGAGUUCACAUCGACGGGGAGGUUUGGCACCUCGAUGUCGGCUCAUCGCAACCUGGGGCGGAAGUACGUCCCAAGGGUUGGGCUGUUCGCCCAUUAAAGCGGUACGUGAGCUGGGUUCAGAACGUCGUGAGACAGUUCGGUCCAUAUCCGAUGUAGGCGUGAGAAUAUUGAGAGGAGCCUUCCUUAGUACGAGAGGACCGGGAAGGACGCACCGCUGGUGUACCUGUUAUGAUGCCAAUUGUAAACGCAGGGUAGCCAAGUGCGGAGAGGAUAACCGCUGAAAGCAUCUAAGUGGGAAGCCCACCUCAAGAUGAGUAUUCUGGUGUAAGGUCACGGGAAGACGACCCGUAAAUAGGCACGAGGUGGAAGUGCAGAGAUGUAUGAAGCCGAAGUGUACUAAUAGACCGUCGGC
rnacentral:rRNA from 1 species